CUGGCCCUAGGCACGUGCACGCUUUCUUUCUGGACUUUGGUCGUAUGGGCGCGGAGGGUCAACCUCUGCGUCUUCAUAUGCCCCUCUUCGUGUAGAAAGUCUUUGAAUGUUUUUACUAUCAUCGAGUCGCGACUUCUAGGAGAUGCGAUUCUUUGAGACAAAAGUUAUUACAACUUUCAGCAAUGGAUCUCUUGGCUCUCGCAUCGAUGAAGAACGCAGCGAAUAGCGAUAUGUAAUGUGAAUUGCAGAUCUACAGUGAAUCAUCGAAUCUUUGAACGCACCUUGCGCUCCUCGGUGUUCCGAGGAGCAUGCCUGUUUGAGCGUCAGUAAAUUCUCAACUCCUCUCGAUUGACUUCGAGUGGAGCUUGGAUAGUGGGGGCUGCCGGAGACCUGAAUAUUCGUGUUCGGGACUCGGGCUCCUCUGAAAUGUAUUGGCUUGCGGUCUGUUUUCGACUUUGCAUGACAAGGCUUUUGGCGUGAUAAUGAUCGCCGCUCGCCGAAGUGCAUGAAUGAAACCGUGCCGUGCCUCUAAUCCGUCGAUGCCUCUAUGGGG
rnacentral:rRNA from 1 species